rnacentral:tRNA from 1 species
CGGAGUGUAGCUCAGCUUGGUAGAGCACUGCCUUCGGGAGGCAGGGGUCGGAGGUUCGAAUCCUCUCAUUCCGACCA